UGUAAGCGUAUACCAAAGUUGUUGCAGUUAAAACGCUCGUAGUCGGAAUUUGGCAGUUCCGGAUGUGUGCACGUCGUGUGCGCACUUCGCGGGGAUUGCUUUUGUGGUCUUGCGUAGGAUGAGGCACUUUUAUUAGUGAACGUCCUCACGCAACCACUUUUUACUGUGAGAAAAUCAGAGUGCUCAAAGCAGGCAUUUGCCGUGAAUGUAUUAGCAUGGAAUAAUAGAAUAGGACUUGGUUCUAUUUUGUUGGUUUGUUGGGACUGAGUAAUGAUUAAGAGGGACAGUUGGGGGCAUUUGUAUUUCGGUGCUAGUGGUGAAAUUCUUAGAUUACCGAAAGACAAACUGCUGCGAAAGCGUCUGCCAAGGAUGUUUUCAUUGA
rnacentral:rRNA from 1 species